GAUGAACGCUGGCGGCGUGCUUAACACAUGCAAGUCGAACGGAAAGGCCCAAGCUUGCUUGGGUACUCGAGUGGCGAACGGGUGAGUAACACGUGGGUGAUCUGCCCUGCACUUCGGGAUAAGCCUGGGAAACUGGGUCUAAUACCGGAUAGGACCACAUUUUGGAUGGUGUGGUGGAAAGUUUUUCGGGGUGGGAUGAGCUCGCGGCCUAUCAGCUUGUUGGUGGGGUAAUGGCCUACCAAGGCGUCGACGGGUAGCCGGCCUGAGAGGGUGUACGGCCACAUUGGGACUGAGAUACGGCCCAGACUCCUACGGGAGGCAGCAGUGGGGAAUAUUGCACAAUGGGCGCAAGCCUGAUGCAGCGACGCCGCGUGGGGGAUGACGGCCUUCGGGUUGUAAACUCCUUUCGCUAGGGACGAAGCGCAAGUGACGGUACCUGGAGAAGAAGCACCGGCUAACUACGUG
rnacentral:rRNA from 1 species